UAUGGCCAUAUCACAUUGAAACACCAGUUCUCAUACGAUCACUGAAGUUAAGCAACAUUGUGGUCCAGUACCUUGGUAGUUGACCAUUUGUGAAUACCAGGUGGU